UGCAGAUGAUGAUCAUUUUUUGCUGUGAAAACAAAAAAAGUGAUGACAACCACCAAGAUCGCUGAUGCA
rnacentral:snoRNA from 1 species